AAGUCGUAACAAGGUUUCCGUAGGUGAACCUGCGGAAGGAUCAUUAAAGAAUUGAACGCCUUGUUUUUUAGAAGAGAUUUUUUUAAAACAGGUUCUAUUCCCAAACCGUGUCUAUAUACCUUUGUUGCUUUGGCGGGCCGCCUUCGGGCGUUGGCUCCGGCUGACAGCGCCCGCCAGAGGACCCAAACUCGUUUGUUUAGUGAUGUCUGAGUACUAUAAAAUAGUUAAAA
rnacentral:misc_RNA from 1 species